rnacentral:miRNA from 1 species
AGUAGAGACAGGGUUUCACCAUGUUGGUCAGGCUGGUCUUGAACUCCUGGCCUCAGGUGAUCCACCCACC